rnacentral:rRNA from 1 species
AAUCAAUAAGCGGAGGAAAAGAAACCAACCGGGAUUGCCCCAGUAACGGCGAGUGAAGCGGCAACAGCUCAAAUUUGAAAUCUGGGGUCCUUUGGGCCUCCGAGUUGUAGUUUGCAGAGGGAGCCUCGGAGGGCGUGCCGGCCCAAGUGCCUUGGAACAGGAUACCGCAGAGGGUGAGAGUCCCGUAUCCGGCCGGUGGCGCGCUCCGUGUGAGGCCUCUUCGACGAGUCGAGUUGUUUGGGAAUGCAGCUCCAAGCGGGUGGUAAAUUCCAUCUAAAGCUAAAUACUGGCCAGAGACCGAUAGCGAACAAGUAGAGUGAUCGAAAGAUGAAAAGCACUUUGAAAAGAGAGUCAAACAGUACGUGAAAUUGUUGAAAGGGAAGCGCAUGGGGGCAGACUUGGCCGCGGGGUUCAGGGUGCGUUCUCGCGCCUGCACUUCCCCGCGGACAGGCCAGCAUCGGUUCUGGGGGCCGGACAAAGGGGCCGGGAAGGUAGCCGCCUUCGGGCGGUGUUAUAGCCCGGCGCGCAAUGCGGCCACCUGGGACCGAGGACCGCGCUUCGGCAAGGAUGCUGGCGUAAUGGCCUCAUGCGGCCCGUCUUGAAACACGGACCAAGGAGUCUAACAUCUAUGCGAGUGUUUGGGUGGCAAGCCCGGGCGCGCAAUGAAAGUGAACGGAGGUGGGAGCUGUCGUAGGCGCACCAUCGACCGAUCCGGACGUUUUCCGAAGGAUUUGAGUAGGAGCAUAGCUGUUGGGACCCGAAAGAUGGUGAACUAUGCGUGAAUAGGGUGAAGCCAGAGGAAACUCUGGUGGAGGCUCGCAGCGGUUCUGACGUGCAAAAUCGAUCGUCAAAUUUGCGUAUAGGGGCGAAAGACUAAUCGAACCAUCUAGUAGCUGGUUCUG